CACUACAGCUGAAUUAAUAUGAGUGUUCCUGUCCUUCAGCGAUUCUUUGGUGGAGAGGAUACAAGACCUGAUUUUCGUCUCAGCAGGGAGGACAUCAGUGAACUCCUGACAGUGCUGGAGAUGGACAGGCAUCAUGGGUAGAGGCCAACUCCGGAAACCCUGGUGAUCCUGUUUUGGUUGGCAACUGGGACAUCCUACAGCUUAGUUUGCAGGGCCUUUGAAUGCCCCUACCAACUGUUCCUAUUGUUAUAUUUAUAAUGUGGUUGCAGCUUGUGCAAUAUUGCACAACAUAUGCAUUGGUGUAGGUGACCUCUUGGAAGAUGGAGAUGUUCCACAGGACAACAAUCAGCCUCUCCGAGGAUAUAAUGAUGACAGCCGGAGCGGAGCAGCAUGGAUCAUGACUACUUUUUUCAGGUAAAUUUAAUUCCAGAAAAAUGUUGAUGUACUUUUUACAGCAAUUGUAUUUAUGUGUCACUUCAUUGAUGUGUACAAAUCAUACAAUUGCUACAUUGAUCAACUGCAUAGCAUUUGUUAAUUCAUGGUUGUUGUUGUUUUUUUUUGUUUUUUUUUGUCUGUCCUCAGUCCUGAAUCCUGAUACAGAGACUUUUUUUUUUUUUUCUUUUUUUUUCGAGUCAAAGUGACCUGUGACUUUUUUGUGUUCUUCAGUUAAUAUUAAACUUGACUUGCCUUGACUUGUAAUAAUUGCUUUAAGGAGCUCAUUGAUUCGGCCUAAAAUAAUUCAUGUUAGCUAACUGCAUGAUUUUUAUUAUCUUAAACUGUACAUUUCUGAAAUGGACAUUACUUUCACAGUCACCUCUGAUAACAGAUCACUCUAAAUUGUGUAGACGUGUAUUUUCUGUAAAGCUGCUUUGAAUCAAUAUGUAUUGUGAAAUAAAUGUGAAUUUACACUGUUUUAAUCUGUUUAUUUAAUAUUGAACAUAAAGGUUUAUGCAAUAAAGUAUGAUGUAUAUUUUAAA